UCAGUUCAAGUCUCGAGCCUAAAUUAAAAAUAACAUUAGCCUUUCUCAAAAUUAAUUUCAGAAUUCGUUAGGACCAUGUAUUUGAGCUUGGGAACGUUUGUGCUCGGCGGCGUCGUCGGCUAUCUGGUCGCAAAAAUUAAUCGCGAGGAUUGAAAUGACUCUGUGUUGGCUCAGAAAUUGUCAGUCUCGAAUCGAUCUCAGAAAAUCGCAGACAAUCGAAAUUGGUUUACGUCUGCUGGGAGAUGCCGGCAUUAAAUCUAAAUUCAAAACUCUAGUUCGGUUUAGUUCGCCUACUCUCAAGCGCAGCAGGCUUUUGUUUGUCGAUGCCCCAGCUUGAGUCAUUUCUCUUUCAGUUCACAUUUCAAGUCUACAGUCAAACUAACUACAAAUAACUAAAUCUUUUUCGGAAUUAAUUCCUAAUUUGGUUGCGUCGAUGGCAUUGUCGUAUUCGCGAUUGCAGUAAAUUAUUUUUGGAAUUGGCAUGGCUCGAAGUUUUGCAAUGAUAUUGGCUCAAAAGUCAAUCACAAAUCGAAAAUCGAAAGUUUUGCGUUUGUCUAAAAUAGUUCCUAAAAUAACCUUUCCUAUUUCUUUACUCAAUUGCGUACACACUUGUAUGCGAAAUUUGCAAUUCAAAAGUAACGCACAGUCGACGGUCGAAGUUCGGCGCUCAGCGACUCCAGAAAAACGGCAAUCCUAGGCUGUAGCUUCGGCUCAGCUCACCUAUUGGAUCGCAGUAGACUUUAGCUUGUCACUGCCCCAAUUCACAAUUUCAAAAUAGAUUUCCCGUUUGAUUACCGCCGCGAUUACGCGCAUUUGCGUUCUCUAUGCGAAAUUUGCCAUACAAAAAGAAACUGAGUUGCCAGUCGGCGCAUUCUGGAAUACGUCAGCCUUAAGCACAGUUUCCUUACUCAAUCACAGCAGGCUUUCGUUCGUCACUGCCAAUGCUUCAGAGACAUUUCUCAUUUCACUUCAGAAUUCAAAACAAUUUAAUAAAAUUGUCAUACAUUUUUUUUCCAAAUUUUUGUUCCACAUUUGGCUUGAAAAAUGGUCACGCAUUUAGGAUCGUUUGUGCUCGGUGGCGUUGUCGGCUAUCUAGUUGCAAAAAAUUAUCGCUUUUAAAAUUGCAUCGGCUCUGUCUUGCAUUGGCAUUGGCAUUGGCUCAACGAAAACUGUCGAAUCGUGCUGAAAUGGCCUCGAAUUUGUACUUUCCCACAUCUUUUAUACCUUUAGUACGAGCUUGUAUGCAAGAAUUAUCAAUCUAACAAGGCACGAGACAAUGAUUGUCUCAUUUUUCGUCGGCUUCGUGGUGGGCGUCGUAUAUUGCUACAGGCGAUCAAGAUGCAGAAGAAAACGUUGAUAAACUAAGCCAAAAAUAAAAACAAUUGCGAAAAGAAA